UAAAGAGGAAAAAUUCCUCUGUUACCAGUCUGGUUCUCAAAAAACGUAAUUUUAUCGUCACUGCUUGUAGCAGGAAGUUAAGAAGGGGUGCCGAUGACAGCCAUGACCCUGUAUCUCUGGGCUGUCUUUCUCACCUCCAUCAGCCACUUCCCCCUCCGACUGCUGUUCUUUACAAGUAAUUCGAAACCAGCCUGCGGACCGAGGACGAGCCCGGAUUGGACCGGCCCUGGCCUGUGGUCUGCCCGGGGCUGCCAGGCUGGGGUGGGCGCUGCAGCCCUCUCGGGGAAGCUGUGCCUGAGGCCGGGACUCUCCGGGCCCAGGUCCUCCUCAGGGGUCCACAUCAAGCCAGGCUGGCCCCCGGGAGUGGUAGGGGGAGAUGCAGGGCUCGUGGCCUGGAGCGCUUCCCCGCGGGGCGGAAGGAGACACCAGCUAGCUGGCUCCCGCGCGCCCAUCCUGCUCCCUCCUCCCUCUGGCUCUGCCUUCCCCUGUGUCUCUUCCUUCCCGAGUGUUGGAGCUGAGCGAGACCUCGGCUCUUGCGGCUCCAGCGGCCGGGCAAGCGGGACCCUCAGAGUAAGGCAGACGUCACUAAUGGACUCCAAGAAUGCAGAGCACUCUGGAUAGCCAGCCAGUACUAAUCUAUCCAGGUUUGCAUCAGGGGCGAAAGUGUUUGCCAGUCAUGGAGAGCAAAUCCUCAUAAAUCAUCCAUGAGGGACAGAUGAGAGAAUCAAGGCUCAGAGAGGUUAGGUGACUUGCCCAGGAUUUGGGGGGGGGGGGGGGGGCGUGGUAAGUGAAUCUGUGAACUUACAGUGGCUUUGGGGAGGUUGUUUAGGUGGAUUCUCAUAUUUGAACAGGUCCAACUUAGGGCCUGAAUGGCUCACCCAUGUGUUUCAAAGUCCUCACCUUUCUCUCCUGCCCACCUCACAGGAGGUCCUUGACUUUGUCCUCUAACAGAGGUCACUGUGUUUGUCUUCCUUUGGCUGCCUGCCUCCCCUCCUGCGGUGAACAUGGCAGACCCCAACAAGGAUCCAGCCAGUCUCCAUGGAAGCACAUCCAUGGCCAUGGCCCUUCCUGGGGCCUGAGCCCCUUCCUUGGAACAGGUACCUGGGGCUGUACCCAAGAGAGGACCUUGGCCUCUCCCAUGAGACCUCCAGCCAUUCACCCUAGGAGGUGCCUCCUUUGGAAGUAAAAGUAAGCUGGUUUCCCAUCUCAUGAGGAACUUUUCUGCCCA
rnacentral:lncRNA from 1 species